rnacentral:rRNA from 1 species
UACGUAGGUGGCAAGCGUUGUCCGGAUUUACUGGGCGUAAAGAGCGCGCAGGCGGCCGUUCAAGUCGCGUGUGAAAGCCCCCGGCUCAACUGGGGAGGGUCACGCGAUACUGAUCGACUCGAAGGCAGGAGAGGGUAGUGGAAUUCCCGGUGUAGUGGUGAAAUGCGUAGAUAUCGGGAGGAACACCAGUGGCGAAGGCGACUACCUGGCCUGUUUCUUGACGCUGAGGCGCGAAAGCUAGGGGAGCAAACGGG